AUGAACGCUGGCGGCGUGCCUAACACAUGCAAGUCGAACGGACAUUUUUUGGAAAGCUCUUCGGAACUGGAAUCUAAAUGUUAGUGGCGGACGGGUGAGUAACGCGUGAGCAAUCUGCCUUUCAGAGGGGGAUAACAGCCGGAAACGGCUGCUAAUACCGCAUAAUGCAUUGGAUUCGCAUGUUUCUGAUGCCAAAGAUUUUAUCGCUGAAAGAUGAGCUCGCGUCUGAUUAGCUAGUUGGCGGGGUAACGGCCCACCAAGGCGACGAUCAGUAGCCGGACUGAGAGGUUGAACGGCCACAUUGGGACUGAGACACGGCCCAG
rnacentral:rRNA from 1 species